rnacentral:piRNA from 1 species
UUAUGUGCUACCUAAAGGCCAAAGAGCCCUA